CAUAUCUUUGCUUCAGUCCCCCAGUUUGAGGCAAGAGUUCUGCUUGCUGCCUUGGACUACAAUUUCCACCGGAACCGACCAACAAUGAAAACGUUGGACGGCAAAGAGAUUUUCAAAACAUUGUAUAAGAAGAACGGUAGAAGAUGCAGCGUAUAUGCCUUGAAAUCUGAAAAAACCUACGGAUACAUUUCCGAGUUGUAAAGAAGGAUUAUGAAGAACAGACUCACAAGUGGAGUGGGGAUGCCUAGAAGGAGGAGCCUUCUCCCAGAUGACCCCAGACAGCUUGUUUUGGUGCCCACCGUACCUGCACCAGCCACAUCAGACUUGUUGCAGAGACAAGUCAGAAGAGGUCUAGGACCGUUAUUCCGACCAGCAUCUGAUGUGGAAGGAUCCCCAUAGGAGAUCACCUUGCAUGUGUCCUGGUACUUGUCAGGCAGGAUCACAAGGGAAAGAAUUCAG